CCCUGUAGCUCAGUUGGUAGAGCAUGGUGUUUGCAACGCCAGGGUCGUGGGUUUGAUUCCCACUGGGG
rnacentral:tRNA from 1 species